AACGAACGCUGGCGGCAGGCCUAACACAUGCAAGUCGAGCGAGGACUUCGGUCCUAGCGGCGGACGGGUGAGUAACGCGUGGGAACGUGCCCUUUGCUUCGGAAUAGCCCUGGGAAACUGGGAGUAAUACCGGAUGAGCCCUUUGGGGGAAAGAUUUAUCGGCGAAGGAUCAGCCCGCGUUGGAUUAGGUAGUUGGUGGGGUAAUGGCCUACCAAGCCGACGAUCCAUAGCUGGUUUGAGAGGAUGAUCAGCCACACUGGGACUGAGACACGGCCCAGACUCCUACGGGAGGCAGCAGUGGGGAAUCUCAGACAAUGGGGGAAACCCUGAUCUAGCCAUGCCGCGUGAGCGAUGAAGGCCUUAGGGUUGUAAAGCUCUUUCAGCUGGGAAGAUAAUGACGGUACCAGCAGAAGAAGCCCCGGCUAACUCCGUG
rnacentral:rRNA from 1 species